rnacentral:rRNA from 2 species
ACUUCGGUCUGGUGGCGAGUGGCGAACGGGUGAGUAAUGUAUCGGAACGUGCCCAGUAGCGGGGGAUAACUACGCGAAAGCGUAGCUAAUACCGCAUACGCCCUACGGGGGAAAGCAGGGGAUCGCAAGACCUUGCACUAUUGGAGCGGCCGAUAUCGGAUUAGCUAGUUGGUGGGGUAACGGCUCACCAAGGCGACGAUCCGUAGCUGGUUUGAGAGGACGACCAGCCACACUGGGACUGAGACACGGCCCAGACUCCUACGGGAGGCAGCAGUGGGGAAUUUUGGACAAUGGGGGAAACCCUGAUCCAGCCAUCCCGCGUGUGCGAUGAAGGCCUUCGGGUUGUAAAGCACUUUUGGCAGGAAAGAAACGUCAUGGGCUAAUACCCCGUGAAACUGACGGUACCUGCAGAAUAAGCACCGGCUAACUACGUGCCAGCAGCCGCGGUAAUACGUAGGGUGCAAGCGUUAAUCGGAAUUACUGGGCGUAAAGCGUGCGCAGGCGGUUCGGAAAGAAAGAUGUGAAAUCCCAGAGCUUAACUUUGGAACUGCAUUUUUAACUACCGAGCUAGAGUGUGUCAGAGGGAGGUGGAAUUCCGCGUGUAGCAGUGAAAUGCGUAG